AGAGAAAAGUUUAGAGAGAAAGAGAGAAAGAAGAGAGAAAAAUCUGUUAGAAAAAUUGGUUGAAAAAUUUAGAAAAAAAUCAGGGAAGAGAAGUGAGCUUGGACGACCCUUUCUCACCAUCUUGUGACUUUAAUCAGUGAGUAUUUGUGUGGUACUGAAGUUGAGAAUCACCCAUGUUCUUCAGCCUUUGAUUUUAAUCGGUAAAGAUGUAAGUUGUUGUGUGGAUCAGUUUUAUGUGAGCAUUUCCGUUGGAUUGAUUGCAAUUCUGCUUUGUUCUGAUUGAGUCCGACCUUUUCUUGAUGUGGUACUGAUCAGGUUUGGCGUAGCUUCAUCUUAAGGUGGAGUAUCAGUUGAGUUCAGACAGUGUUUGAUUUGAACCGGUAAACUGUUUUGCCUUUUGAUCCAGAUCAGUUUAGAUUGUAACCAGCUGGAUGAGUUGUUGUUCUUCCUCUCUGGAUAAAUUUCUUAAUACCUUGUGUGGAUUUAUAUUAGUUCAGUUCAUGGUCUCCUAGCAUCUAGAUAACUUAACUGAAACGAUUUAUGUUUGAACCGAACGGAAGCUGCCUUGAACUUGCCUUUGUAGCUGUCCUGAAUCUUGAAAUGUGGGGCUGAACCGGACUGAUUAACCCUUUUUCCAACCGUUCUGUUAUUGGUACAGAUGGUCAAGGAUAGUGUUCGGAUCAGCCGGAUCCUUGUGGUGGUUUUAACUCGAGAAUAUUCCAGAAGUCGAGUGUGAUUACCUUGAGCUAGAGUAUAGUCUUCCUUAGCCAAUCACAUGGAUUUAAAGGUGAGUCUAGAUAGAUGAUUAAGGAUUUAUAAAUUAGUGUUGCAUGAUUGAAAAUGUAGAUGAUUGAUAGGCUUUGUCUCUUGAUCAAAUAUUGAAUUGGUGUGGUGUUUACUUAGUGUAAACAAUUAAUAAAUAUUUAUGAAUGCUCAUAGAGGUUUAUUCCAAACCUUAGUACUUGUUCUCAAGUACUAAUACAUUGUAUAAUAUUAAAUAUAUAAGUAUAAAUCAUGUGAUGUCUUAUUGUAUACUCACUCUCCCGAAAGUUCCCGCAUUACCAUGAAUUGUUCCUGCGAUACAGAACAAGGUUACGAAGACACAAUGAUGGGGUCGCACCCUGGAGGCCGUGUAACUGCAUGCAGCGUUUGAUGUUUGAUCUUGGAAUAUCUAAUAGAGUUGAUGGUUAUAUUUAUUUCCCCGCUAGGCUCUGUAAGCCUAUGUGGUUUUCCGGGUUUAGUAUAUAUAUAUUAUAAGUAUGAGUUAGGGUGACGGGACUAGGCUAACUGAGUAAACUAGUUACUCAUGACUCAUUUGUGAAGCAGGUAACCAAUGGGCGGGAGUCCUUACUCUAGGACAGGAAGGAACAUCAUUAACCAGCGGUAGUUUUAUUAUCCUUGCAAAGGCGUUUUGAUAUUUCUUAUUUAUAAGAUUUUUUGACCGAAAACCUCGAGGUUAAUUUAUAACAAAUUUUGUAUGAUGCUUUUGAUUGAUAUAUAAAGAAUGUUUUUUGAAGUACAGGUUUCAUAUGAUAUUAGUCCUUGUCCGAACAAACUAACUAUCAGAUAUUGUUUGUUGGGUUGAAAAGCCUAGAGUUAUAUCCGAUAGGAGCGUUGGUGUUCUUUGGUUGUUCGUCUAAGGUAAUCGGAAGUAUUCUGAGAACCUCAGAUCGACCAUCGAGGAACAUCGACCGUGUCAUUUCCGGUCAUCUACGAUCAGGGGUGUCACAAAGGUGGUAUCAGAGCAUGGUUAUAAAAUGCCAGAAUUGGACUUGUUUCAAAUGUUAUUUGAGUCAAAAUGAGUCGCAAGGAUAACUAGGAUAUGCUGGCUGGUUCCUUCAUUUUAGGAUAGAUAGUCGUGGGUAGUUACCUAACAGUGAUUUUUCAUAGCAGAAGCACCGAGACAAGCUUGAACGGGUGGACCGUACUUACCGAUGUUACAAUCAUCAGGCUCCAGUUUGCUACCCUCAUGGUGGGGUUCACUGCCGUCCUGUUAGGAAUCAGUAACCUCAUGCCUUCCUGCCGUUCUUUUGAGUUCUGGUGGGGGAUGCCAAUUCCUUAGAGAGAUAUAUGGGAUAAAGUUGAUACAUUGAAUACAUCUCUGGACUCGUGUGUUAUCGAGUCAAGGUGGGUGAUGUUUGUGAUCCGGUUCAGAGCGAUUCGACAACACUUGAUCACAUAGAUGCACUUAUUAUUCCAGUUUCUCAAGUGUAACCAACUCAUGCUAAGAUGUAUAAGCACCAGAGCCAUACAAACAUGAUUUCUUCAGCAUUUGUUUCAAGCUUAGCAUUAGAGAAAGAGAUGGUUUGAUUGUAUUAUACGAUAAUGGAAGCCCCAAAAGCAUUCUGUUUAUAACAAAAUAUCAUGAAGCAUACGAUGCAAAGAAGAAGAAGUUGGGGCCACAAGAUACUUAAGAAGGACUAAACCGUUUGAGGUAUACUUUGGCUUGAGGUAGAUUUGGGGUGCAACACUCAGAGCAUAAUAUUGACGUGGCUGUUGUUCAGAAAAUUACAAGAAGGAUUUGCAGCUAGCUAUUUGAAGAUGAAUGCGAGGAGUUGUUGGUCGAGAGUCAAGAAUUACAUCAGAGAGUUGAGAUCGAGUUGGACAGAUUUCAAGAGUUCAAGAAGUAGUAUUUUCUACACAAGGUGGUUCAGGUCGAGUUAAUCAUAUACAACAAUUUCAGCAUUGAGAUACGUGGUCGAGUGAAUUGGAUUCAUCGAUUAUGGUUUGAAGAAUAAGCCAAAGAUCAUACGGAAAAUCUUUGGGAACUUAGCCAAGAAUUUUGGAGUAUAUAAAAGACCAUGGAGUUUCAAAGCUCCGAGGAGAUGUUAGAGUAUGACGUGAAUGUUAAAGAAGCUAUUAUUGCUGAAGAAGUUAACCAAGUCAUGCAGACUGUUUAUUUUCCAACCGGUGCAGAUUAAAGAAUGGUCGUGAUUGUCAAAGUGUGGGAAAUCCUGGAAUGUUUACAUCAUUCGCGCUUUGGUGGUUCUUGUGAAGAGUUAGGAUUUUAGGUUACCUUUCCUCAUGAAGUUACCCGAUCUAUGUUACCUAUAUCUAGGAUAACACUUGUUGAACUUGUUCGCUUUUCCUUACCGUUAGUCCACAUCCAAGUGUUAGGCUAUUUGGGUAGAGCCUACACUUUAUAGUUGCCUGGACCGUCAAAACCCCUGAAAGGUACAACCACGUGUUUGCUUCUUAUCCCAUUGUGUGUUGUGUGCAUUUUAAAAAUUUUAUGAAUGAUUGAAAUUAAAAAAAAAAAGUGAAUUGUGAUCAAGGUUUCGUAAGAGACCUUGCCUAUGGAUGGAAUUUUCCGUCCAUAUUGUGUUUGAUUCGAGAACCACACGUAGUUGUAGUUCCUGAGUAGUGUCAUAGUUGUAAGUAGGAUUCACUUUAUUGAAUUCAAGUACCCGUUCUUAUUCUUGGAAGUACUGGCUGCCAGUUAAAAUUUGUGGUAUGACUUUCCCCAUUCCAUAGUACUUCCGUUAGAGUGCUAUGUUUCUAUCUAGAAUGAGAUUGGCUAUCUAGUUACCGAGCUCAAUUAGGAUAUUGAGGAAAGAAUUUUUUUGGAAGAAGACUAGUCGCCAAUGGCCUACAAUGGUACUCUACCAAGUGGUUGAGCAUCGCUCAUAUCAGUCUGGCAAGUUGAAAACCUUUUGGGAAAAAGGUGAAGAAGUGUACUCUAGUAACUUGAUUGUUUAAAAAGUAAAAGAUGAAAAGGUGCAGAGUAGAAGACAGACUGAUAAUCAAGAAAGAUGAAGAUGUGGUUAAGGCAUUGAAAGGAUGGUUGACAUCUAAAAGUAACAUGUUCAGUAUUCUUGUUGAACCUGGAUUCGCUGCAAUAGACUAGGGAUCUCACCAAGUGGUUCUUGCCGAGUUCUAGUAGUAGUUAGAAGAAUACGAAGAGGGUCUCAGAUAGAUCAGAAGUGUAAAGAAUACAGUACGUGAAAUCGUUCUUGGAAUGGGUGAGUGUGCGUAUUUGAGAGUAGCAUCCCUGGUCCGAAUCAUGUUGGUGUGAUUGAUCGUGCAUGUUCUUGUUUGAUUGUUGCACAGUUAAACAAGUUAACAUUCACCAGACUGGAGAUGUUACUUUCACGUAUGGCAUAUCACCUAAAGUUCCAAAUUUCAUGUUGCUGUUAUGGGAGAAAGCCAGAUAGAAAAUGUUGAGAUGUGAUAGUCUACAAAGACAAGAUUGUUAGUAAAAGUAUGCAGACCGCAUAUCACAAGAGUGUGCAGAGUAAAGAAUUUGGUUAUCGACCAUGAGUUGUUUUGAUAUGGGCAGAUUAAGAUAAGGUCAGAGCUAAUAUCUAGAACUCUUUUAGAGACUGUUCAGUAAAGAGUGUACAGCUACGUUUUCAAAAUUCGGGGACAAAUUCUUUUAAGGGGGGGGGGGGGGGGGGAGAAUGUAAUAACCCUCACGAGCAGAUAGAAUUUUGGUCAAGAAAAUGAUUUAAGAUCAGUUUGAAGAUUGAACGAUCGGAAUUUAAAUAAAAAUCGACACGGUGAAUUAGUCUCUCGACAGGGUUGUCUUUUGGUCGAAAAACCAUCUCUUGAUUGUUCUGGUCGAGUGUUAAUUAUUAUUGUCGAUUUUUAUUCAGGCUGGGCGAGUUUAUUCAGAGCAGGACGAGAUUCGAAUGAUGAAAAAUAUUUAGAACAGUUCGAAAAAUAUCGACAAAACUCUUAAAAUUAUUUCUGAACAAUCACAUGCCUUUCACCUUCUAGCCUACUUGCUUCCUCAGUAAUUAGGUCACAUGAGAUGAACCUACUUGCUUACCUGCUUGCUCAUUAGAAGUCACAUGCUGGUCAAAAGCUGUUUGCUUGAGCUGCUUGUAUCUUUCUUCAUGGAAGGGAAAUGUUCAGCUGCUUGUGCUGCUUGGUGUGCUGAAGCAUGUCACCAGCUGUCUAACCUCAUCUUUGUCUUUUGUGGGAGAAAACCCUCAUCUGAA